UACAGAGGGGGCAAGCGUUGUUCGGAAUUACUGGGCGUAAAUGGCGCGUAGGCGGCCCGCUAAGUCGAACGUGAAAUCCCCGGGCUCAACCCGGGAACUGCGUCCGAUACUGGUGGGCUCGAAUCCGGGAGAGGGAUGCGGAAUUCCAGGUGUAGCGGUGAAAUGCGUAGAUAUCUGGAGGAACACCGGUGGCGAAGGCGGUCA
rnacentral:rRNA from 1 species